rnacentral:rRNA from 1 species
CCAGCAGCUGCGGUAAUUCCAGCUCCAGUAGCGUAUAUUAAAGUUGCUGCGGUUAAAAAGCUCGUAGUUAGAUUUUUGGUUUUCUCGUCCAAUCACCUUUCGAGGUGCAUAUGGGUUUCGAGAGAACUUUCGUCUGUAUUUGCCUUGUGCUUAACUGUACUUGGCAGGGACAGGCUCUUUACUUUGAGGAAAUUAGAGUGUUUCAAGCAGGCAACUGCCUUGAAUACAUUAGCAUGGAAUAAUAAAAUAUGACUUCGGUCUAUUUUGUUGGUUUCCGGGCUGAAGUAAUGAUUAAUAGGGACAGUCGGGGGCAUUCGUACUUGACAGUCAGAGGUGAAAUUCUUGGAUUUGUCAAAGACGAACUACUGCGAAAGCAUUUGCCAAGGAUGUUUUCAUUGAUCAAGAACGAAAGU